UACAGAGGGGGCAAGCGUUGUUCGGAAUUACUGGGCGUAAAGGGCGCGUAGGCGGCCUUCUAAGUCGAACGUGAAAUCCCCGGGCCCAACCCGGGAACUGCGUCCGAUACUGGAAGGCUUGAAUCCGGGAGAGGGAUGCGGAAUUCCAGGUGUAGCGGUGAAAUGCGUAGAUAUCUGCAGGAACACCCGUGGCGAAGGCGGCUCGCUGGACCGCAACUGACGCUGAGGAACGAAAGCUAGGGGAGCAAACAGG
rnacentral:rRNA from 1 species